rnacentral:piRNA from 1 species
UACAAGGUUAGUGGUUGCUUCCUCAAGC